GUCUUUCUAGUAUUAGCGUCAGUACAAGUGACUUCCAAUCACUCAGGCUUGGUUAAAUCCCAAGGAAAAACA
rnacentral:tRNA from 1 species